rnacentral:lncRNA from 1 species
CUUGGAAAUGUUGUGGAGCUUUUAAAGAAGAUCCACCUCACUUGUAGUUAGUUAUACAAGCAACAGUCAUGUGGCUUCCCUUGCUUCAUUUUUUGCUCUUAUUCUGACUUUUAGGGUUGCUUGGAGGAAUAAUUGCAAAGGAAAAGAUCUCUCUGGGUGGACAAAAGGUUGCAAUCUCUGAGUUCCAUGGUCCUGAAUGAAUUCCAGCAUUUCUCUUGAGAUCCCCUUUGAUGAAACAUCUACCUACUGCCAUAUAAUCAAACUCCAGCUGCUUCUUUCUGGGCUAGCAUUUGCAUGUUGUGCCCCACCCCAUGGCCCUCUUUCUAGAUGAGGGAAAGUGAUUAUUAUUUUUAAGUGUGUCUGGGGUGGUGAGUCAUCUUGCUUUGGAUUGAGAGCUUCUCUGCUUGAAAAUCUUCAAUAAACUGAACAUAAACAAAA